rnacentral:lncRNA from 1 species
ACAGUCAGAAUUAUCUUUCUUACAUAGACUGUGAGGCAGAUGGUUUCAUUGUUCUCCAAAUUCCAUUAUAGAUUUCUCUGUUAGUAAAAGAGGUUUAACUGUCUGUCUGCUCAGAUAGACAGAAUAGUCCUCAACUUCCUUGGAAACUAGUGAUAAUUAAUAGACACAUACUAUUGCUUCAGACUAGGAGAUGCAACAAUGGGCUAAUUAACCAUGUGGGACAUCACUCUGACAGCUGACCUGACAAAUGGGGGAAUAAGAUAUUGAAUGUACAACUGAGGGACAACUCCAGGACAUCUUGCAUUGUUGGAGUCUUCUUCUGCAGGAUGCAACUAGUCACUGUAUCAAUGAUCAGAAUAUGAUGCAAUAUCACAAGAAUAUACAGGUCUGCAAACAAAAGGCAGAAAUAAGAACUUCCUACGGAGAAAAAUCUGCUGCUCCAGGAGAGAGCCCAAGCGAUUUCAGACUUGCAACUUCAAGUGCGCAGCAUGUUAAUGUUGUUUCUGCUUCUCUCUAUCCCCAUGGCUGCAGCUUCUUUGGGGGGCUCUUGUUAACUCUGUCUGCAUGAAUAAACCAUAAAGAAAGCUUUGCUCAUUCUAUCAAUAUAUUCUGCAUUUCCCAAAGUGUGUCAUAAAAUUUCCAACAUAAUUUUUAAAAAGGCUGAAUAGUGCAUGGUCAAUAAAUAAAUAAAUAAGAAAAGAAAAGAAAAUUUA